AACGAACGCUGGCGGCAUGCCUAACACAUGCAAGUCGAACGAGACCUUCGGGUCUAGUGGCGCACGGGUGCGUAACGCGUGGGAACCUGCCCUUAGGUUCGGAAUAACUCCCCGAAAGGGGUGCUAAUACCGGAUAAUGUCUUCGGACCAAAGAUUUAUCGCCUUUGGAUGGGCCCGCGUUGGAUUAGCUAGUUGGUAGGGUAAAAGCCUACCAAGGCGACGAUCCAUAGCUGGUCUGAGAGGAUGAUCAGCCACACUGGGACGGAGACACGGCCCAGACUCCUACGGGAGGCAGCAGUGGGGAAUAUUGGACAAUGGGCGAAAGCCUGAUCCAGCAAUGCCGCGUGAGUGAUGAAGGCCUUAGGGUUGUAAAGCUCUUUUACCCGGGAUGAUAAUGACAGUACCGGGAGAAUAAGCUCCGGCUAACUCCGUG
rnacentral:rRNA from 1 species